CACAACGGUAGUAGGAUUUAUAAAUUAUUGAGAGUAAAGAGAAGGAAUGAAGCGCGAGGGAGAUUGAGUCUACUACCACCGGCAAACCUGGUGUAUCCAAGGCACCGACGAAGGCGUUUUCCGCGACCAAACCUGGUAUACCCGAGGAGUGCAAGGGCGCAAGAUGCUGAUCAAGAAGUGAUUGACACGUCCAUUGGCCUUCGUAGACAAGGAAAUGCGAUUGCACUUCGUAACCUCAAUGUCACUGCCAAGUAGUACACUAGUCAUUUCGGUAGGGUACAAAUGUUAUUGAUGCAGCAGGACGGGGCGAUAUACAUAGGUUGAAUGAAUUGUAGUCGUUUUUCAUAACCUGUUGUAUCAUAAUAUACGUAUUAACCAAAA